CCCUUUGAAAACAGCCAUAAAGCUAACAUUGAUUUAAAUGGAUGGCCUUGCAGCCGUGAUCUAAGGGCUCCUAAUUUGGAAUGUGGAAACCAGAGUUCAGCAAGAAGCUAUAUUACUGUACACUUCCUACAAGGAACCGAGGGAUAAACAUGGAAAGAGCAAUUGGCUUGCACAGAGCUUCACCAGUGAGGCCUUUGCUGACUUGAGCUGUAGAACCCCGCAUGACACCAAGGUGCAUGGCUUUAAAACUGAGACCAGCAUGUCAUCCUUAUAAUGACACAUUGGCAGCAGUUCAAGGACUUCCCCUAUCCCAGUGGGAUUUUUCAUAUUUUCCAAGCAGUGAAUAAUGAGAAGAUCCCCAAAAGCUUGGCAGAAAAGUGGAGGACAAGGGCUGUAAUCUGAGCAAGGGAGAGCAGGGGGGAAAGGGACCCAUGAUUGCAUAGCUAACUUGUCAAGAAUGGGAGUGACUAAAAUAAAUACCAAGCAGCUGGAGUCCCAGAGAGCAUUCUGGGAUAGGGUGAGGAGGAUGGCAGCAUUUCUUUCUUGCCCUGAAGGUAUGCCAUGUUCUGGGUGAUUAGUACCUGCUAAACUUGUUUUUCUAAAUCUUGCUGUACUGAAGUUUUUCCAUCAGAAAAACACAAGGAAGUAACAUUCACUGUUGCCACACAGCAGUCUUUGGAUGACUGACAUA